GUGUCAGCAGCCGCGGUAAUACGUAGGUGGCAAGCGUUGUCCGGAAUUAUUGGGCGUAAAGGGUGCGUAGGUGGUCUUUUAAGUGGGAUGUGAAAUACCUAGGCUUAACUUAGGAAUGGCAUUCCAAACUGGAAGACUAGAGUGCAGGAGAGGAAAGUGGAAUUCCCAGUGUAGCGGUGAAAUGCGUAGAGAUUGGGAGGAACACCAGUGGCGAAGGCGACUUUCUGGACUGUAACUGACACUGAGGCACGAAAGCGUGGGGAGCAAACAGGAUUAGAUACCCUGGUAGUCCACGCUGUAAACUAUGAGUACUAGGUGUGGGGGGCGAAGCCCUCUGUGCCGCAGUUAACACAAUAAGUACUCCGCCUGGGAAGUACGAUCGCAAGAUUAAA
rnacentral:rRNA from 1 species